GCCUCUGCACAUACCAUUGAAAUCAAAGCUGAAGUCUCCAGGAAAAUCCCCACCAAAGUUGGCUUCACACAAAGAUAAUUAUCGUCAACUACUUGACUCUCAAAUAGUUUUAGCAGAGUAAGAAAGAGGGUCUUACUCUGUCAUCGAGGCUGGAGUGCUGUCAUCAACCUCCCGGGCUUAAGUGAUCCUGCCACCUCAGCCUCCCAAGUAGCUGGGAUUACAAGUGUGUGGAACCAUGCCCAGCUAAUUUUUUAUUUUUCAGUAGAGACAGGGUCUUACUAUGUUGCCUAGUAUGGUGUCUAACUUCUGGAUGCAAGUGAUCCCGCCACCUUGGUCCCCCAAGAUGCUGGGAUUACAGGUCUGAGCCCCAAGCCCAGACCACAAUAAUAAACUGUACUGAAGAUGAUGAUUGGAUAACAGUAAGUGGGGAUAGUGAUGUUCAUAUCUACCCCUAAAUUUCCUCUAUCUCACACUGCCACACUGGACUUGGGCUUGGCUCUAUCACUCACUAGUGAGAAGAAGAAAAGCAGCAUCUGACAGCCAGGACUUGGCCUGGCACUCAAGCUAGGCCAGAGACUACCAUUGAACAUAAAAACACAGAAACAAUGUCAAAACCAAAAAAAUAAAAAUAUAGGAACUGAUCUUCACUGUUUCUUUACAAAUUACAGCUUGAAAUUUACAUCAUAUAUCUUGACCUUAGAAUUAGAAUUAUAAAGAUAUCAAAUCACAG
rnacentral:lncRNA from 10 species